UUACGGACAUAUCGCGUUGAAACACUCGUUCUCGUACGAACACCGAAGCAACAUCGAACCUGGUCAGUACCUAGAUGGGUGACCGCGUGGGAAUACCAGGUGCUGUAAG